AAAACAUAUUUAGCAUAGAAUGACAAUGAAAUUAGUUCAUCUUUAGAUGAAGAUCAUACAAACAAGGUAUUGAUGGCAUCACAUCAUUCAUGUGAUGAAGAUCAUGAGGUUAAUGAUUCUGAAAUUGAUGAUAAUACUUCAUAAGAUGAAUUAGAAAAUGAUUUUCACAAAUAAUAUGAAGAACUUUUAAAAAUUUCUAGACAAUAUUCAAAUCAAAAGAAAACUAAAACUCGAAAGUAUGGCUAAUGACACAAAAGUGGAAUUAG
rnacentral:lncRNA from 1 species